GUAGUCAUAUGCUUGUCUCAAAGAUUAAGCCAUGCAUGUCUAAGUACAAGCCUCUGAAUGGUGAAACCGCGAAUGGCUCAUUAAAUCAGUUAUGGUUCCUUAGAUCGUACAAUCCUACUUGGAUAACUGUGGUAAUUCUAGAGCUAAUACAUGCAACGAAGCUCCGACCUUCGGGGAAGAGCGCUUUUAUUAGAUCAAGACCAAUCCGCUUCACGGCGGACACUUUGGUGACUCUGGAUAACUUCGAGCUGAUCGCAUGGCCUCGAGCCGGCGACGUAUCUUUCAGAUGUCUGCCCUAUCAACUUUCGAUGGUACGUGAUAUGCCUGCCAUGGUUGCAACGGGUAACGGGGAAU
rnacentral:rRNA from 1 species